ACCAGACUCCUACGGGAGGCAGCAGUGGGGGAUAUUGCACAAUGGGGGGAACCCUGAUGCAGCGACGCCGCGUGGGUGAAGAAGCGCCUCGGCGCGUAAAGCCCUGUCAGCAGGGAAGAAAAUGACGGUACCUGAAGAAGAAGCCCCGGCUAACUACGUGCCAGCAGCCGCGGUAAUACGUAGGGGGCAAGCGUUAUCCGGAUUUACUGGGUGUAAAGGGGGCGCAGACGGCGAUGCAAGCCAGGAGUGAAAGCCCGGGGCCCAACCCCGGGACUGCUCUGGGAACUGCGUGGCUGGAGUGCAGGAGGGGCAGGCGGAAUUCCUGGUGUAGCGGUGAAAUGCGUAGAUAUCAGGAGGAACACCGGUGGCGAAGGCGGCCUGCUGGACUGCAACUGACGUUGAGGCCCGAAAGCGUGGGGAGCAAACAGGAUUAGAUACCCCAGUA
rnacentral:rRNA from 1 species